rnacentral:sRNA from 1 species
AAAAGUCCCCAGUAGACCGCAGAGGCUCGCGGCCUCGGGUAGGCUCCCGCAGAUCGCCGUAGAUCUCAGUAGAUCCGGCGUGUAUUCCCCACCCGCGGAGUAUCCCGGUGUGCAGCGAUCUCCCGAGAGUUGGCGCGAGGCCACUUGGCUGCAGGGAAGGUGUGCACCUUCAGUCCGGGAAACCCGCCCCAGCCGAGUAGCCGCGCAUCCUGGGAAGCCUGGCGAGCCACGGCGCCGGGGGCGGCCAAGGGGAGGCGGGAUGAGUCUGCCAGCCGGCUGAGCGCGCUGAGGAGCCGGCCGGGUCACCGCCGGGGACAUGGUCCACGACCGCUUGGAUCGCUACUGCUGUGGCUUCGAGCCUGAGCCCUCAGACCCCUGUGUGGAAGAGAGGCUCCGAGAGAAAUGCCGGAACCCAGCCGAGCUGCGGCUGGUCCACAUCCUGGUACGUCUCCUCCACACCAUCCCCUUGUCACCCCAGACCCAGGUCUUCCUGUGUCCUUCAGAAGAUGCUGUUAACAAGUUUCAGAGAUCAGUUGAUGCUGGGGUUUCCCAGUCUUGUUCUUUUCAGCAGCAGAACCAGUUGUUUGAAUAUUUCCAGGAGUCUGCAAUAUAUAAAGCUGACAAAAUGGAGCUUUAAGAAUGUGCCUGAGGAGGAGUGUGGGGUGGGGGCUGGAGCCCUGUUUUCACUGUCUCCACUGCCCCUGAGAGACUCCAGGGAACAACUAGGGCUCCUGGAAGUAGAGUUUGAGAAUGGUGUGUCUAGUCAAAUCCUUGCUGUGCCAGUCAAUGAGGAAUUGCAGUCUGGAGGGAAAGGAAUCUCCAAGGCCAUACGGUAGCAGCAUUAGGGCAUGAACCCAAGACCACAGUGGCUCACAGGCUGGUGCUGCUCCUGUCAAAACUAGAGUCCAGGGUGGGAAGCAAUGUGCUGAGGCCAUUGGAUACAGCAGAAUAGCCACUUCUUCUGCAUAAGAAACAAGGUGCUUCCCCCGGGGAAGGGCUUCUCUAUCUUCUCCUGCAGUGAGGCAUAGUGUCCUCACAGCCUCCGUUUGCUCUUGGAAGGUAGCUGUCAGCA